CUCAGACAUUGCUUUGGUCUCCUUUGCAGGCUGCUUGUCCUCUGCUCAUCCAUUAAAAGCUGGAGACCAUGAGGAUCCCGGGCUUGAAUCUCAUCAUGCCCAAUCCAUCUUCAUCAAUAUUUACUGAGCACCUACUAAGUGUGAGGCUCUAAGUUGGGUUCUGAGAAUCCAAAGACAAAUGCUCUACACUUAAGUAACAUGAAGCCCAGCUAUGAGAUGAGACCUGAAGGGAGGAUCAAGACUAUGUUCAGUUGGGAAGGCAGACAAUGUCAGUAAGUCCCAUUGGAAUGCAUAAGUUUCUAGUUGCAUACAACCAAGAAGAAGAAUGGGAAGAAACAAAAGAAGAAAAAAAAUGAGGAGUGAAGGGAGAAGUUGAAGUCAGAGAAAAAGUUGGAAUGGGAGGUAGAAGAAUCAGAAGUGAUUCUCCCAAUUCAACAGAUAAGUAAAUGAGAAGUCAUGGAAAGCGACAGCACUCAGGACUUACAUCUCUUCCAAUGAGGUCCUCCUGGUUUUCCACAAUUCCCCAGGGGGCA